rnacentral:rRNA from 1 species
GGAGGGAUCAUUACUGAGUUUACGCUCUACAACCCUUUGUGAACAUACCUAUAACUGUUGCUUCGGCGGGUAGGGUCUCCGUGACCCUCCCGGCCUCCCGCCCCCGGGCGGGUCGGCGCCCGCCGGAGGAUAACCAAACUCUGAUUUAACGACGUUUCUUCUGAGUGGUACAAGCAAAUAAUCAAAACUUUUAACAACGGAUCUCUUGGUUCUGGCAUCGAUGAAGAACGCAGCGAAAUGCGAUAAGUAAUGUGAAUUGCAGAAUUCAGUGAAUCAUCGAAUCUUUGAACGCACAUUGCGCCCGCCAGCAUUCUGGCGGGCAUGCCUGUUCGAGCGUCAUUUCAACCCUCAAGCUCUGCUUGGUGUUGGGGCCCUACAGCUGAUGUAGGCCCUCAAAGGUAGUGGCGGACCCUCCCGGAGCCUCCUUUGCGUAGUAACUUUACGUCUCGCACUGGGAUCCGGAGGGACUCUUGCCGUAAAACCCCCAAUUUUCCAAAGGUUGACCUCGGAUCAGGUAGGAAUACCCGCUGAACUUAAGCAUAUCA